rnacentral:rRNA from 1 species
UACGAGGGGCCCAAGCGUUAUUCGGAAUUACUGGGCUUAAAGAGUUCGUAGGCGGCGCAGAAAGUAGGGUGUGAAAGCCCUCGGCUCAACCGAGGAAUUGCGCUCUAAACUACUGUGCUUGAGGAAGCUAGAGGUGAGCAGAACAGAUGGUGGAGCGGUGAAAUGCGUUGAUAUCAGCUGGAAUACCGGAGGCGAAGGCGGCUCACUGGGGCUUUUCUGACGCUGAGGAACGAAAGCCAGGGUAGCGAACGGG